UCCAAAGAAGAAGAUGAAUAAGGAACGGCCAGACCCAUUGUUUGAAACAGAUGAUAGAAUGUUAAUAGAGAACAGGCGGAAGGCAUACCUAAUUGAACUCCCCUUCUCUCUAUCAUGGAGAAUAAUUUAAAAAAUGGAAAGAUCAUAGUACAUAAAAUAAUAAGUGCUGAAUGAAGGAACAUAGAAAGGAUGAGCAAAAGGAAUCUUCACACAUUGAUUCAAUAAGAACAAGUUAUUGUCAACACAACUACUUCCUGUGUAACUACUACCUGUGUGGAACAAGACCACUGGCUCAAAUAAAUCAAAUAAAUUAAGGAGAUUUCUCAAGGCAAAAGCUGAAAGGAAUUUUAUUGCAAUCUUGCAAAAAAGGACACCUCCCUCCCUUCAAGCAGUUAGGCAA